AUGGACUCCCUCUCCCUGUACGAGAUCUCCUGCUUCGCCGCUGGCUUUGCCGGCAACCUCUUCGCCUUCGCUCUCUUCCUGUCCCCAGUGCCGACCUUCAAGAGGAUCCUGAAGGCCAAGUCCACGGAGCAGUUCGACGGGCUCCCCUACCUGCUCUCCCUGCUCAACUGCUUCAUCUGCCUCUGGUAUGGCCUCCCCUGGGUCUCCGAUGGCCGGCUGCUCGUCGCCACCGUCAACGGCACCGGCGCCGCGUUCCAGCUCGCCUACAUUUCUCUCUUCUUCAUCUACGCCGACAGCAGAAAGACCAGGCUGAGGAUGGUAGGGCUCCUGGUUCUCCUGGUCUGCGCGUUCGCCCUCGUCGCGCACGCGAGCAUCGCCUUCUUCGACCAGCCGACUCGGCAGCAGUUCGUCGGCGCCGUGAGCAUGGCGUCGCUCAUCUGCAUGUUUGCUUCCCCGCUGGCCGUCAUGGGAGUGGUGAUCAGGACGGAGUGCGUGGAGUUCAUGCCCUUCUACCUCUCGCUCUCUACGCUGCUGAUGAGCGCCUCUUUCGCGGCAUACGGAGUGCUGCUGCGUGAUCUCUUCAUCUACCUGCCCAACGGGCUUGGAGUUGUCCUGGGAGCAACGCAGUUGACGCUCUACGCUUACUACAGCCGCAAAUGGAGAUGCAAGGAUACGUCUGCGCCGUUGCUUGCCUGA
rnacentral:rRNA from 1 species